UACGGAAGGCAGCAGUGGGGAAUAUUGCACAAUGGGCGCAAGCCUGAUGCAGCCAUGCCGCGUGUAUGAAAAAGGCCUUCGGGUUGUAAAGUACUUUCAGUCGUGAGGAAGGUGUUAAGGUUAAUAACCUUAGCAAUUGACGUUAGCGACAGAAGAAGCACCGGCUAACUCCGUGCCAGCAGCCGCGGUAAUACGGAGGGUGCGAGCGUUAAUCGGAAUUACUGGGCGUAAAGGGCACGCAGGCGGUUAAUUAAGUUGGAUGUGAAAUCCCCCGGGCUUAACCUGGGAAUGGCAUUCAAGACUGGUUAGCUAGAGUCUUGUAGAGGGGGUAGAAUUCCAUGUGUAGCGGUGAAAUGCGUAGAGAUGUGGAGGAAUACCGGUGGCGAAGGCGGCCCCUGGACAAAGACUGACGCUCAUGUGCGAAAGCGUGGGGAGCAAACAGGGAUUAGAUACC
rnacentral:rRNA from 1 species